GUCGGCCGUUUGACAUACAACGAAACAAUCCCCUCGCCUUUUACUAGGGGAUUCCGUGUAUGCCGUACCAUAAACGUCGACACAACAAUCUUUGGAAUUUCAUCUCUUCGUGAGAC
rnacentral:snRNA from 1 species